UACCAACUGAGCUAUCAUAAUUUUAAAUUUUUUGCCACUUUGAGAGAAAGCGCACAAGUGAGCUUCGCCAGCACGUUUUUGGUCUGAUGUUACAGCGCCACAGUCCAGCUCCAGCAGCCGCUCUCCUCGCCCGCCUCAGGGUAAGGGAACCCCAUUCCCUUUAGGAUUUUCUACACGACAGUCGCGUCAUCUGUGUGUGGAGGUUCCCGAGGCGCUUCGCUUCUGAGCUGCAUGUCCCCCCUGCACUUUCGGUCUCACUGCCUUUCUCAGAGCCCUCAGAAUGAUGCCGGAUUUAAGCAACAGCUUCAUCUUGUUUCCGAUCUCAGGGGACGCUUUCAGUCUUUUUUAUUAUUACUGUUUUUAACUGGAGGACAAUUGCUUUACCACGGUACGUAGGUUUCUGCUGUACAACUGCAGGAAUCAGCCGUGAGCACGCGCGUACCUCCUCCCUCUUGCCCCCCAUGCCCGCUCCAGGCCACCCCGGAGCCCAGGCUGAGCUCCCUGUGUCACGUGUGCAGCCUUCUCACUACCUGCUGUUUGCAUACGGUAGUGAUAGCCUGUGGGGAAUGGCGUCAGAUUCUUGAUCUCCAAAGAAGAUUUAGCUUCGGGACCAGGGGCCAGGCUUCAUAACUCAAGAGCUUUUGUGUAUCAGAGUUUUAUUAAAGUAUGGAAGUGAAA